rnacentral:lncRNA from 1 species
UGGCAUUGUAAUAAUUUUUAUUAUGCAAUAAGAAAUGGUUAAAAGUCUACGAUGUGAAUACACAGUAUGUGCCAGAUACAUAUUAAGGAUACUUGGGAGUUCAUUAAAUAUGUAAUCAUAUUCAAAAUUAAUUAAUACCAUAAAUCCCACCCAUCUAUCGACAUAUGACUCGUAUUUCUAUAGAAAGAAAUAUUCUACAAUUUCCAGAUAUCUUUUCAAAAAGUUAAGGACAGCUUGCACAGAUAUUAACAGUCUAGUUGUUCGAUCUUUACAUAAUAAAUGUAAUGCUUGUUCUGUCAGCUGUAGAAUACAAUUAUAAUUUAAAACUAAUUGUCAG